GAGUUUGAUCCUGGCUCAGGAUGAACGCUGGCGGCGUGCUUAACACAUGCAAGUCGAACGGGAAACCUUUUAUUGAAGCUUCGGCAGAUUUAGCUGGUUUCUAGUGGCGGACGGGUGAGUAACGCGUGGGUAACCUGCCUUGUACAGGGGGAUAACAGUCAGAAAUGACUGCUAAUACCGCAUAAGCGCACAGAGCUGCAUGGCUCUGUGUGAAAAACUCCGGUGGUAUAAGAUGGACCCGCGUUGGAUUAGCUUGUUGGUGGGGUAACGGCUCACCAAGGCGACGAUCCAUAGCCGGCCUGAGAGGGUGAACGGCCACAUUGGGACUGAGACACGGCCCAGACUCCUACGGGAGGCAGCAGUGGGGAAUAUUGCACAAUGGGGGAAACCCUGAUGCAGCGACGCCGCGUGAAGGAAGAAGUAUCUCGGUAUGUAAACUUCUAUCAGCAGGGAAGAAAAUGACGGUACCUGACUAAGAAGCCCCGGCUAACUACGUGCCAGCCGCCGCGGUAAUAC
rnacentral:rRNA from 1 species